GGCUCCGUAGCUCAGCGGUUAGAGCGCUCCACUCAUAAUGGAGAGGUCGCAGGUUCGAAUCCUGCCGGAGCUA
rnacentral:tRNA from 1 species